ACGUAGGUGGCUAGCGUUGUUCGGAUUUAUUGGGCGUAAAGGGUCUGUAGGGGGCCGGCUAAGUCUGAUGUGAAAUCCCGAGGCUCAACCUCGGAAUUGCAUUGGAGACUGGUUGGCUAGAGCAUCGGAGAGGUGAGCGGAAUUCCUGGUGUAGCGGUGGAAUGCGUAGAUAUCAGGAAGAACACCGAGAGCGAAGGCAGCUCACUGGACGAUCGCUGACACUGAGGGACGAAAGCGUGGGGAGCAAACAG
rnacentral:rRNA from 1 species